AAUGAAUUGCCUGAUAAAAAGGGUUACCUUGAUAGGGUAAAUUAUGCAAGAAUAUUGCAUUCAUUA
rnacentral:tRNA from 1 species